AUGUUAAUGCUUCUCUUUCAACAUCUUUGUUUUCUUUCCACCCUUGCUCAUCAGAAAACAACACUUCCACCUUCCGCCAUGGAUUUCAGCGGGGGUGGGAAAAAACCAAAAAAAAACUCAUGCCGGUGCUUUCGUCUCCCUCUCUCUAGUACAAAUUCACAAUCCAAAUUCUCUAAAUCAACACCCUCAUCAUUUAUUUAUAAAUUCAAGUCAUGA